rnacentral:tRNA from 1 species
UAGAAUGAAGCUCGCUGGAUAGAGUUUUUAGCUGUUAACUAAAUUUUCGUGGGAUCGAGGCCCGCCAUUCUAG